rnacentral:rRNA from 1 species
CCCGGUGAUCAUAGGCUGCUGGCCAUACCCGUUCCCAUCCCGAACACGGUCGUCAAGCAGUAGCCGCCGAUGAUAUUGCUUCAGCGAGAAAGUAGGUUAUCGCCGGGU